GAGGAGUGGAUCUGAAAAGGUGCUUCGGAGAGAAGAGGAAGGGCCAGUAAAAAAAUGGAAGUUAUUGUAAUGGGAUGCUAAAGAUUGUUGAAGCCUCACCACGGUGUUUCCUGAUACAGCAUGUUAAAAAAUAAGGAUCGUUCAUCUAAAAAAAGUAACUUAGCAGUCUCUGCAGUUGCCUUACAAGACCACAUAUUACGUGAUCUUCAACUUGGACAUCUCUCAGUAGCAGAUCCUUGUAAGACAAAAGUGCAAAAGAAAGAGAACAAAUCACAAUCUCUCAGAAAAGGCUCGGCAGCCAUGAUGGACACUGGACUUAGAAAGACUGCAGAGGGGCCUAAAGGGGAAGAUCCAGAGAAGGAAUAUGUUCUAGACCCCACACCACCACCGUUAACUUUAGCCCAGAAACUGGGUCUCUUGGCACUUCCCCCAUUACCACUGUCAUCAGAUGAAUGGGAGAAAGUGAAGCAGAGAUCCCUUCUACAAGGGGACUCCAUGCAGCCAUGCCCAAUAUGUAAAGAAGAAUUUGAGCUCCAACCCCAGGUACUGCUUUCCUGCUCACACGUGUUCCAUAGGGCAUGCCUUCAGGCUUUUGAAAAGUUCACAAAUAGAAAAACCUGUCCUCUCUGUAGAAAGAACCAAUAUCAAACGAGAGUGAUACACGACGGGGCUCGUCUGUUCAGAGUAAAGUGUGCCACCAGAAUCCAAGCCUAUUGGAGAGGGUACAUCGUUAGAAAGUGGUAUA
rnacentral:lncRNA from 1 species